GGGGCAAUGGCUCAGUGGAAGAGUAUCUGUUCGGCACACGGAAGGUCCCUGCUUCAAUCCCCAGCAUCUCCA
rnacentral:tRNA from 1 species